UCCACGUAGCACAUUCAUUAAUCAUCAAAAGUUGUUUUCUCGAUCACUUAUGUCAAAUGGGCUUUGCUCUUAAUUUUCUGAAAUUCAUUAGGUUUUAACUUUUCCUCACACUGGCCCAAAAUUGUUAUGAUUUUUAUUUGUAUUCAAUGUUGACAAUGGAAAGUAGAAACUUUACGAAUCCCCUUCUUUGCCAAACUCGACGUAACCCUUCGUACAAUUAAUCCAGAAAUCUCGCUCAUCCCACUCCUUCCUAUUGAAUGCAGUUUUACUUACUGUUUUUCUCAGCUUCACUGAGUAUAUAUAGAUGGUGUGCGAGCCAGAGCGAUAACCUUUUAGUUUUCCCAAAUCAGAGCUUCUGUUAUUUCUCAGUGAAACCCUCUAAUCAUUGUGAAUUCCCAAUUUCAUUGCUCAGAGUUGAAGUCAUGGUUGUAUUGAUGUUCGAAAUAGGCUAAAGACUGUAUUUUCAUUCAUUCUCUAAAAAGCUUCUGAAGGGCGAAGGAGAAUAAAACAGAAUAGAGCUAGAGAGAGACAGUUAAUGCGAAAUUAACCCUAAAAACUGUUUCUUUUUUGCUUUGAUCUCAGGCUUUGAACUCAGGCUCAUGAUGCUGACGUGUAUAACGUGUAUGAAUCAGCUUAACACCACAAACAAUGGCGGAUCUAGGCUGCUACAAGAAGAUGAAGAAACAGAGACGCCAAGGACCAAGCAGGCGACUAAAUCUCUGACGUUGCAGCUUUCAAAUAGGAAUCUACUUGGAGACGCUUGGUCGGGAGGGAAGCAAAUCCAGAGGUAGCAGAUGCUGGAAAGAGAACGAGAAGUGGCUCUACGAUAUCAGUUAUAGAUAGGCUUAAUCUUCAACCAUAUAGUGUUCAUCAUGUAAGCAUAAUCACUCUCAUUCUAUUAUUUUAAAUCUCUUUCGAUUGAUCAGUAACAUCAUUAAAGUAACCUAUGAAUCUAAUGUUAUGAUCUGUCUGACACAUGAGAGUUGUGUAGAUUUGGAGACUUGGAAAACUCUUUUGUGACAUUUUAAAUGAUGUUUUUUUGUAAGAGAUUA